CAACUCGGCUGCAUGAAGCUGGAAUCGCUAGUAAUCGCGGAUCAGAAUGCCGCGGUGAAUACGUUCCCGGGUCUUGUACACACCGCCCGUCACACCAUGGGAGCCGGAAACGCCCAAAGACAGCGGCCUAACCGCAAGGAGGGAACUGUCUAAGGCGGGUCUGGUGACCGGGGUGAAGUCGUAACAAGGUACC
rnacentral:rRNA from 1 species